GGCUUAUAGUAUUUUUAAAGCAACAAUCAUUCCAGGCACACAGUUCCCAUGUGAAAUAACUUACAAUAAAACAGAGUAAUAAACUUAUACUUCUAUGCGACAGAAAGAAUAAAGUAAAAAGAUUUAAGUAGGUCUAUCAGGUACAACCUAUGAGUCAUUUCUUUUCUAAUAUACAGUACUGCUAUCUUGCAGAAAGAUAAGUCCUGCGCUCACUCCCAUCACUACUGGGCAGCAGCAAGGACUACAGUACACAUCAGUCCCAAUAUAUGGUAAAAACCAAAGAAAAACAAGUUACCUGCAUUCUCUCCUUAAUCCCUAUGUAUUUUUAAAACCUCCAUUUGUUUAAAAGUACUGCUAUCUUAUAUAUACACAUAUACAUAUACACACACAUAUAUAUACAUAUACACACACAUAUAUACAUACAUAUAUUGGUCACUCAGGACAUGAACUCACAUUUCCCAUACUGCUGACUCAGAGUGGGGACACUACUAACUUACCAAAGUGUGUCCCCAAUAUAGACAAACAAUCACCCACAAAAAACACUUAAGACAAACAAAGGUGACCGGGAGAAAGAGAAGUUUGGGUUAUACUUAAAGAUCUACAAACCGUGCUGCUCAGAACACCUAUAGACUUAAUAAACCAGAGACCUCUUAUGGUCUCAAAAACCUGUAUCUACCUGAGAUACCCUGUAUCUAUCUUAGAUACUAACCUGGGUUACCAAAACCCUAUAAUAAACCGGAGACCUCUUAUGGUCUCAAAAACCUGUAUCUAUCUUAGAUACUAACCUGGGUUACCAAAACCCUAUAUAUAUUUAGACCAAAUGUCUAAUAAACCGGAGACCUCUUAU